UACGAGGGGGGCAAAUGUUGUUCGGAAUCACUGGGCGUAAAGGGAGCGUAGGCGGGUUCUUAAGUAAGGUGUUUAAUCCCGGGGCCCAACCCCGGACCGGCACUUUAAACUGGGAAUCUUGAAUAGUGGAGAGGUCGGUGGAAUUGGGGGUGUAGCGGUGGAAUGCGUAGAGAUCCCCAAGAACACCAGUUGCGAAGGCGGCCGACUGGACAGAUAUUGACGCUGAGGCUCGAAAGCAUGGGGAGCAAACAGG
rnacentral:rRNA from 1 species